AAAAAACAUUUCACGUCGAUCGGCGAUGGCGUUUCCGAUUCCACCAUGGCUGAAUCAGUUCAGAGCUUCAGCAAAUUCCUUCUUAUCUCAAUACGAGCCCAUAAUUCUACUAAUAACUCCUCUCUUCUCUCUUCUAAUCGCUCGAAUUCUUCAAUCCAUCUUCCUCGUUAUUCACGAUCGAGGACUCAAAGCCACCAUUAUUAGCUUCGUUAUGACCGCCAUCAAGUUGGUGCCUGGUGUUAAAAAGCACAUUGACUCUGAGAAGCAGAAGAUAGUGGAUAAGUUGCAAGGUUCUAGUAAUAGAGAUGGAUGGAGAACUGAGUUGCCGAAGUCAGGUUUAGGAGAUAACGUCCUAGUGCAAAUGAGAGAUGAGAAACAAAAAGAUGUGACAUGGCAGGGCAAAUGUUCGGGCACCGUCUAUAUUGGCGGAAAUGAGAAUGAGGGACAUUUUUCAUUGAUAAACGAGGCAUGUUCCAUGUUUGCACAUACCAAUCCACUACAUCUGAGUGUGUUCCCAAGCGUUGUUAGAUUCGAAGCAGAAGUGGUUGCGAUGACAGCAGCAAUUCUUGGUAGUAAAGAAAAGGCUUCUGGAGGAAAAAUUUGUGGAAAUAUGACAUCAGGGGGGACUGAAAGUAUAUUAUUAGCAGUUAAAUCAUCACGUGACUAUAUGAAUGCCAAGAAGGGCAUCACAAAACCAGAAAUGAUAAUACCAGUUUCCGCACACUCAGCAUACGACAAGGCUGCACAAUAUUUCAAGAUCAAAUUGUGGCGUGUCCCUGUUGAUAAAGAAUAUCGAGCAGAUGUUAAAGCUAUUAACCGAUAUAUUAACAAAAAUACUAUCAUGAUUGUUGGAUCGGCACCUGGUUUCCCCCAUGGCAUAAUCGAUCCAAUUGAGGAGCUUGGUGAUUUGGCUUCUAGCUACCAAAUUUGUUUCCAUGUUGACCUUUGUCUUGGAGGCUUUGUCUUACCUUUCGCUCGUAAGUUGGGAUACCCUGUACCUCCAUUUGAUUUCACUGUUCAAGGAGUAACCUCAAUCUCAGUGGAUGUACACAAGUAUGGGCUGGCCCCAAAAGGAACCAGUGUAGUUCUGUACCGAAAUCGUGAAAUACGGAAGGUAUAAAGUGCUACUUUCUGCCCCUUCUCUGUAAUCACUGUUUAGCAUUCAAUUGAAGCAUCUCUAAGCAGAAAUUAUGGAUUUGUUUAAAUAUCCAGUUUGUGAGAGUUCAUCGGAGAUUAGACUUGUUCCUUUGGAUAUAUUCUUCUUUAUGAGGAAAUUUUGUUCUCUUGAUUAUGAACUUUGUAAGUUCAUCCUUAAUAUAAUUUGUAGCCUUUAUGUGACUGGAAAUAUUGUCUUGAAUUUUAAUGGUUUUUCUUUCUGAGAUGCCCUCUUUACCUUUCCCUUAUCAAUGUCGAAGUUGCAGAGAGCAGUAUAGUAUACCUUGAAACAUUUGGUAUGGUGGUUCUACUUCAUGUGCAAUGAGUUGAUACAUUAUGCUACACCUUCAUUUUAUAUGUAUUUAUUUUAAAAGUAAUCUGAGAUCUUUUACAUUUUCUUACUCCUGAA
rnacentral:misc_RNA from 1 species